CUACGGGUUGCAGCAGUCGGGGAAAUUUUGCAAUGCGCGAAAGCGUGACAAAGUAAGUCAAAGUGUUUUUCUAAUAAUUGAAAGACUUUUAUGAAAUGUAAAAAGUUUCAUGAAUAAGGACCGGGAAAGACUGGUGCCAGCCGCCGCGGUAAUACCAGCGGUCCAAGUCGCAGCCACAUUUAUUUGGUCUAAAACAUCCGUAGCUUGUUUUGUAAGUCUUUUGUGAAAUCCUGUAUCUUAAGUACAGGGCGGGCAAGAGAUACUGCAAGGCUAGAGACUGGAAGACGCAAGAAGUAUGAUUGAGGUAGUGGUAAAAUACGUUGAUCUUAAUCAGACUAACGAUAGCGAAGGCAUCUUGCGAGUACAGUUCUGACAGUGAGGGAUGAAGGCUAGGGUCGCAAAACGGAUUAGAUACCCCUGUAGUC
rnacentral:rRNA from 1 species